UACGAAGGGGGCUAGCGUUGCUCGGAAUCACUGGGCGUAAAGCGCACGUAGGCGGCUUUUUAAGUCAGGGGUGAAAUCCUGGAGCUCAACUCCAGAACUGCCUUUGAUACUGAGAAGCUCGAGUCCGGGAGAGGUGAGUGGAACUGCGAGUGUAGAGGUGAAAUUCGUAGAUAUUCGCAAGAACACCAGUGGCGAAGGCGGCUCACUGGCCCGGUACUGACGCUGAGGUGCGAAAGCGUGGGGAGCAAACGGG
rnacentral:rRNA from 1 species